CGGGGACGGGGCGCGCGGGGAGGGGGCGCGGGCCCGCGCGGCUCCCGCUCCCCACAGCCCGGGCCCCGGCGGGGGGCGCGGGGGAAGGGGCCGGGGGCCGCGGGCCGCGUGAGGGCGGGGCCGGGGGCGGGGCCGAGGGCGGAGACAGGAGGAGGGCGGGCCGGGAAGGGGCGGGGGCGGCCGGGGCAGACUGACACCCCCAGGACAUGGGGGCGGGGAAGGGGCCGUUCCCGCCGCGGAGAGAAAGCCGGGGCAGGGAGACGGGGUCGCCUGGGGCUGACGGUGGGUCCGCCCCGGCUCAGGGGUGGUCGGCCAGAGAGGGGUCCCGAGAGCCUGAGUUCCAAGUGGGAGCACGAGGAGCGGAGGGUGCGGGAGCCACCCGCCGGGAUCUCUGGGUCCCGGGUCGUCUGCGGGCGCAGAGACGCUAUGGGCAGUUGGGGGAGUGUCGAAGCCUGGGCAGGGUCCCCGAUUGCGCGACCCCUGGGUCCCGGCUGGUAGGAGAGGGGAGGAAGGAGGCUCUGAAUGAGCCUCGGAGUUGAUCACCACGAGCGCCCCGAGUGACUCCUGAGUCACCCCUCCCCCUCCAGUGCCAACGACGUACUAAGUGCUCACUGAGUCACUUCUCUCUCUGGUCCCCAGCGACUCACAAACCAAGGACUACGAAUCCAGUUGGCAACCAAGUGCUUUAGUGGCAAAAGGAGUUUCCCAACCAUCACAGGCUGCAAGCCCAGAAGUCUGGCCCUGGAGCCGCCACCCAAGCCCUUCUCCCUGUCCACCCGGAAGCCGGCCUUGCUGUCUGCACGGGGUCAGGUCCUGCAGGAACAAGGCUUACUGUGUGAAGACUUCUUCCCCAUCCUGGCUGAUCUGCCCGGUGACCUUGAGCCACCAGGCCUCCUCCCUGGCCCUGAGAUUCGCGCUCUGCUGGGUGAGGGUUUAGAUCCCUGCCUUCUCUGACUCAGUGUUUCCAACCCGUUCCCUCCUUUGUCCCCUUGCCCAGGUUUUGUGCUCAGCCGAGCCCAGUGGUGAGCACAUGGGAUGGGGUUGGCCUCUGGUGUGGGACUGAGCCUUCAGAGAAUCCAGUAGCUGAGCAAAUCCUCAGUUUGUGAGUCAGGACUUGGAGUGAAGGCUUUGCAUCUUGUUGGCUGUACUUUUAAUCCGUCCUAAUUUUUUAAAAAGUGGAUUAUAAAGAGAAUAGAUCCAGAGGAUGAGGCAAGACGCAGAAAGAGCAUCGGUGAGCAGUGACCUCGCCUCCACAGUGAUCCAAAGGUGAAUAGGGCUUGAUCUCACCAGCACAGUGCUUGGGGGCCAGGGGAGCCCCGUAUGGGUCAUGUGGUUACCCAACCUGCUUCCUUCAACUAGUAGAGAUUGUAAACUCCCAACCAGAGCCAGCCUCAGGAGUGGCCAGGCGCAUGGACAAGCAUGAGGCCUUCCCAAAAGGCUCAGCAC
rnacentral:lncRNA from 1 species